rnacentral:rRNA from 1 species
UUCCAGACUCCUACGGGAGGCAGCAGUGGGGGAUAUUGCACAAUGGGGGGAACCCUGAUGCAGCGACGCCGCGUGGGUGAAGAAGUAUUUCGGUAUGUAAAGCCCUAUCGGCAGGGAAGAAAUUGGACGGUACCUGACUAAGAAGCCCUGGCUAACUACGUGCCAGCAGCCGCGGUAAUACGUAGGGGGCAAGCGUUAUCCGGAUUCACUGGGUGUAAAGGGAGCGUAGACGGCGACGCAAGUCUGGAGUGAAAGCCCGGGGCCCAACCCCGGGACUGCUCUGGAAACUGCGUCGCUGGAGUACGGGAGGGGCAGGCGGAAUUCCUGGUGUAGCGGUGAAAUGCGUAGAUAUCAGGAGGAACACCGGCGGCGAAGGCGGCCUGCUGGACCGUGACUGACGUUGAGGCUCGAGAGCGUGGGGAGCAAACAGGAUUAGAUACCCUGGUAC